GGUGUCUGUGCGAACAGGGUGCUGCCUCCGCCCUGCCCGGGGGUGUGGGCCGGGAUGGGGCUGAGUGACACGGCGGGGGCGCGAAUGGUUGUAAGCAUUUUGCUGCGGAAUCCUGCUGUGAUCAUCCUACCGCUCCAUGACUCGAGCUUAAUCGACUGGAGACUUCAACUCUGCUCUCCAGGAUUAUCAUGAGUUUCUAAAAUGCUGAGGUGCUGUCAGUGGAAGAAGUCUACCUGGGCAUUGUGAGAAAUCAGGUUGUGAUUUGUGUCAAUCGAAUAGCACCCAUCUAUGUAUGUGUGUCUGGGCAAUGCACACAGAGACCAUGGGAUUAUUAUAAAGAAGUUUUAAGAAUCAGCUAAAGUAAGGCAUGGAAGUAAGGUAUAACAAAGCAACUAUAUAACAGUAAACUUCUAGCUAACAGUUUGUUUUAACAACAAAAUUGUAAUUAUCUACAAGUAAUUAAUAUAAGCUUUAAACUACCUUGUAGUAUAAGUUUCAAACUAUUCUUUGUACAAGCUAUAAAUUGGUUUUUUUUUGAGUAUAGAAGAAUUUCUAAACACUUAAAAAGGGGAAGUAAGACUAACAUGAGCUGAGAGGCAUUUUUAAACAUGCUUAUUUUAAGUUUUGUAAUAACUGAGAAAGAGGCCCUAUGACGACAUUUUUUUACACAUGCUGGCUGUAAGUUGUGGAAUGACUGAAAGAGGGCUUGCAAAAUGUAUGUUAGCAGAAUAUAAAUAUACUUUCUUAGACAAACUGUAUAACCAAAAUAAUGCUAGUGGAAAAAAGAUAUUUUAGAAGAAUAGGAGGCUGAAGAGACAUCAGAAGACCAUCUCAGACCACCUCAACAACAGAGCUUCAAAAACCACAACUGCUGAUUAUGAAGAAAAGCAAGUAGAAAGUAAUUGAAAGUUUGAGGAAGUGAAGUGCCUAGAAUGGUAUAAGAAGACUACCACGUGAACCCUGAAUUUGUGCGUUGCUUAGGGCAGUUACCCUCACACAGUGCUGUAAAAUUUGCUCACCUUUUAUCGAUCAAAUUAGUAAAUUUGCUAUAUUGCUUCACGUAUUGGCAAGUCUAGCUUUUCAUUUAUAAGAGCAUCACCAGCACUCUUUGACACAACUACUUGCUUUGGGGAAUUCUUUCCUAACUAAGUUCCAUCAACAUGAGACAGAUAAAAUGCUGUGAAUAGUAGUUCUUUGUUACUCUAAUC